UAUCUCUGUAGAGUCUGCAUAUCAAUAAGCGGAGGAAAAGAAACUAACUAGGAUUCCCUCAGUAACGGCGAGUGAAGCGGGAAGAGCUCAAAUUUGAAAUCUUCAAGGUUCUACCUUGACGAAUUGUAGUUUAAAGAAGUGUUUUCUGUUGGAGUUUUGGUAAAAGUUCUUUGGAAUAGGACAUCAUAGAGGGUGAGAAUUCCGUAUUUGACCAUUAUUUCCAGCUUUGUGAUACACUUUCAAAGAGUCGGAUUGUUUGGGAAUGCAGUCCAGAAUGGGUGGUAAAUUUCAUCUAAAGCUAAAUAUUGGCGAGAGACCGAUAGCGAACAAGUACCGUGAGGGAAAGAUGAAAAGAACUUUGAAAAGAGAGUUAAACAGUACGUGAAAUUGUCAAAAGGGAAGCGUUUGACACCAGUGUUGUUUUUCUCGAAAAUCAAUUAAAAAAGGCAGGAUUUUGUGUUGUAUUGACUUUAUCAGCUUUCUGCACUCUUUUCUUGUCUUUUUUAAUGCACUUUUCGUUUAACAAGUCAACAUCAAUUUCUUUUGUUGUAAAAGGGUCAUUGGAAGGUGGCUUUCUUUUCGGAGAAAGUGUUUAUAGCCUUUGGCCUCUGCAAUCGGAGAGAUUGAGGUCUGCAGCGUAGAUCCUUCGGGGUUAGAUACAUUUGUGCUAAGUUAUAGCCUUUCAUAGACAACUUGUUGACUAUGAUCAGUCAUGUAGCUUACUCGCUUAUGCUAUUUUACCUACGCUUAGGAUGUUGACGAUCAGCUGAGCGCG
rnacentral:rRNA from 1 species